rnacentral:rRNA from 1 species
CAGCAGCCGCGGGAAUACGUAGGGUGCAAGCGUUAAUCGGAAUUACUGGGCGUAAAGCGUGCGCAGGCGGUUAUUUAAGACAGAUGUGAAAUACCCGGGCUCAACCUGGGAACUGCAUUUGUGACUGUAUAGCUAGAGUACGGCAGAGGGGGAUGGAAUUCCGCGUGUAGCAGUGAAAUGCGUAGAUAUGCGGAGGAACACCGAUGGCGAAGGCAAUCCCCUGGGCCUGUACUGACGCUCAUGCACGAAAGCGUGGGGAGCAAACAGGAUUAGAUACCCCGGUAGUCCCUGUCUCUUAUAC